rnacentral:rRNA from 1 species
UAGAGGAAAAAUUAAUAAUAAAUAAACUAUAAAAAAAAUUUUUAAUAUAAAUAUUUAAUGGGGGUUAAAGUAUUUUAUAGAAAAAAAUUAAAAAAUUUAUAGUAAAAUAGUAUUGUGAAAGAAAUUUGAAAAAUAUUAAAAUAAAAAAUUAUAGAAAAGUAGAUUUAAUUUAUUGUAUCUUGUGUAUCAGAGUUUAUUGAAGAAUAAUUUUGGGGGAAAUUAUUUCGAAUUUAAAAGAGUUAAUUAGUUAAAAAAGUUAAUGUUGUAUAAUUAUUUUUGAUAGCUAAUUGGAAGUUAGAAGUUAAUCGUUUUUAAGGAUAUCUAAUUUUUUUGGAAAAAAAUUUAAUUUUAAAUUAAAUUAAUUUUUAAUUGAUUUAUUAAUUAUAAAAAAAAAUUUAAUUGAAUAUUUUAGGGGAUAAGCUUUAAAUUAAAAUAUUAUAAUAAAUAUAUGAUUUAAUUGAAAUUUUUAAAAUUUAUAUUUUUUAUAAAUUAUAAUUUAUUAUAAAUAAUUUCAAUUAUUUAAAAUUUAAAAUUUAUUUAAAUUUUUACAUAAAUUUAAUUUUUAAUUAAAUAAAAAUUAGUAAUAAUGAUAAAAUUAGUAUAAAUUAUUUUUAUUAAAAAAAAAAUAUUUUAAAAAUUAAUAAAUAGGAAUUCGGCAAAAAUUUAUAUUCACUUGUUUAUCAAAAACAUGUCUUUUUGAGUAUAAUUUAAAGUCUAAUCUGCCCACUGAAUAUUUUAAAGGGCUGCAGUAUUAUGACUGUACAAAGGUAGCAUAAUCAUUAGUCUUUUAAUUGGAGACUUGUAUGAAUGAUUUAAUGAGAUAUGAACUGUCUUUUUUUUAGUAAUAGAAUUUAAUUUUUUAGUUAAAAAGCUAAAAUUUUUUUAAAAGACGAGAAGACCCUAUAGAGUUUAAUUUUUUUAAUUUAUAAAAGUAUUUUAUAAAAAUUAUAAUAUGUGUAUUUAUAUAUAUAUAUAUAUAUAUAUAUAUAUGCAUACAUGUAGGAUACAUAUAUAAAUAAAAAAAUUUUGUUGGGGUGAUGAAAAAAUUUAUUAAACUUUUUUUAUAGAGUUAACAUUGAUUUAUGAUUUUUUGAUCCAUAAUUUAUGAUUAAAAGAUUAAAUUACCUUAGGGAUAACAGCGUAAUUUUAUUUUUUAGUUCAAAUAAAAAUUAAAGUUUGCGACCUCGAUGUUGGAUUAAGAUAAAAUUUAAAUGCAAAAAUUUAAAAUUUUGAUCUGUUCGAUCAUUAAAAUCUUACAUGAUCUGAGUUCAAACCGGUGUGAGCCAGGUUGGUUUCUAUCUUUAUAAAAAUAAAAUAAUUUAGUACGAAAGGAUCAAUUAUUUUAAAUAAUUUAAUUACUUAAAGAAUAUUAAAAAUAUUUUUUUU